UCCCUGUUGGCUCCCAUGGUAAAGCGUUUGCCUGCAGUGCGAGAGACCCGGGUUCGAUUCCUGGGUUGGGAA
rnacentral:tRNA from 1 species